AUGGUGGUGCCAGUGGUGCUGGUUCCGGUUGCAGUUCCGGUUCUGGUGCCAGUUCCGGUGCUGGUUCUGGUUCCAGUGCCAGUUCUGGUUCCGGUGCCAGUUCCGGUGUCAACGUCACAGUGGUGCCAGUUCCGGUUCUGGUUCCAGUUCCAGUUCCGGUGUCAGCAUCACAGAGGUGCCAGUGGUGCCUGUUCCGGUUCUGGUUCUGGUUCCGGUGCCAGUUCCAGUUCCGGUUCUGGUGUCAGUGUCACAGAGGUGCCAGUGGUGUUGCUUCCAGUUCUGGUUCCGGUUCCGGUUCCAGUUCCAGUUCUGGUUCNGUUCCAGUUCUGGUUCCGGUGCCAGUGUCACGGUGGUGCCAGUGGUGCCAGUUCUGGUUCUGGUUCCAGUUCCAGCUCUGGUUCCAGUGUCAAUGUCAUGAUGGUGCCAGCAGUGCUGGUUCCGGUUCUGGUGUCAGUGUCACGGUGGUGCCAGUGGUGCCGGUUCCGGUUCUGGUUCCGGUUCCAGUUCCAGCUCUGGUUCCAGUUCCAGUUCCAGCUCUGGUUCCGGUUCCAGCUCUGGUUCCGGUUCCAGUUCCGGUUCCAGUUCCAGCUCUGGUUCCGGUUCCGGUUCCGGUUGCGGUUGUGCUCAGGCGUGCAGGCAGCGGUUGAAGGCGUUGUAGGCCGACUCGAGGUCGAAGAGCAGCUGCCGCACCUGGGCAUCGUCCAGCUCGUCCGACGCCGACACGGCGCUCAGCGUCUGCAGCUUCCAGCCCCGCAAACCCCACAAAGGCGCCCCUGACCCCAUAGGGACCCC
rnacentral:lncRNA from 1 species